rnacentral:rRNA from 1 species
UACGAAGGGGGCUAGCGUUGUUCGGAAUCACUGGGCGUAAAGCGCACGUAGGCGGCUUUUUAAGUCAGGGGUGAAAUCCUGGAGCUCAACUCCAGAACUGCCUUUGAUACUGAGAAGCUUGAGUCCGGGAGAGGUGAGUGGAACUGCGAGUGUAGAGGUGAAAUUCGUAGAUAUUCGCAAGAACACCAGUGGCGAAGGCGGCUCGCUGGACAGGUACUGACGCUGAGGUGCGAAAGCGUGGGGAGCAAACAGG